rnacentral:lncRNA from 1 species
CAACACACUUCCAGAUUCUGUCAUUGUGAAACAAGCAUUUCUACUAUCCAAAAAUCUAUAUUUGAAUAAUCAACAAAGUUUUUAUCUAAAUGUAAUGAAAAUGCUUAAAUCCUAUGACCCAUCCUUUGAAUUGAAUGAAUUAGAACCCAUCACACAAGAUCAUUUAACCAGAUAUAUUAAUAAUAUCAAAAAUAAAUACACAACAUUUUGGAAACACACACUGAUUAAUUCCUCUAAAUUAUCUUUCCUAUCCUCUUUCAAAUCAGAAUUUAAACUAGAAGAAUACCUUAGUUCUAUAAAGAACCCGUCACAUAGAAGAUUACUAAGUAAAUUUCGAACCAGUUCCCAUAAACUACACAUUGAAUCCGGACGAUACAACAAAACUCCCCGUGAACAACGUUUAUGCGAGUACUGCGACACCAAUGAAAUAGAAGAUGAAUAUCAUUUCACACUUUCAUGUAAAUAUUAUGAACAACAAAGAAAUGAUUUAACAAAUACUCUACAAAAUGACUUUAAUGUACCGAUAAAUUUCCAAACAACUGAUGACUUACUAAACAUAUUGUCAUCGAAUAAUCCCGAUUUGCUCAACAUUUUCUCAAAAUUUCUUUUCGGUUGUUUUAAGAAACGUGAUGAAUGCCUUGAAACUAGGUUACAUUCGAAGUAGUUAACUUUCUUAAAAUUUGAUAUUUAUAUAUGAUAAUUAUUAUUUCAUAAUUCAAAUCUUUGAUAUUGCAAAUAAAUAGUCAGAGAUCCUACAACAUUUGUUAUUUU